UUUGGAGCGGAGAUGACAGAAAACCAUUUGAAGGAAGAGUCUUCCGCAGACCCUGGACUUCAAUAACCUCUUCCUGGAAACCAAGACAUCAAAUCUAGGGGGCAUUGACUGAAAAAAUUUGAAGUGAUUUAACAAACAUGCUACAUUUGGCUCAGGAGCCUGUUAAAACAACAAGAUCUCCAACAGAACUUCAGAACCAGGUGGACAACGGUGAGUAUGAAGAAUCCAGCCAUCUGCACCGAAAAGAAACAUAAAAUGCAUCAGCAGUCAGCAACACAGCACCGCACAACCUUUGUCAAAAUUCCAAGAAAACACAGCAACCAUGCUUGGUAGGAUGGUUAGGUAUUGUAAAGUUACUUCUUUCAAAUCCCGAGCAAGAGUAGCUUAAUGGCAUUGUACUUAGUGGCCUCUCCCAUGAAAA